CCCCGCCGCCGCGCAGACGCCCACGGAGGCACGCAGAGCGCGUGCGCCGCAGCGCCCCGCCCGCUCGGUGUGUGACGUGAGUGGUGAUGCCGUUCCAGUGGGAAACGGUUAGGCUGGCGUUUCGUUGAGGUGCCGGCCUUGGGGCGGCUUUGCUGGUAAAAGUUACUCACUCAGCGUGUGCCGUGUGGGCUGAAACACUGCCUGACAGGGACGGGGCCUGGUCUGUUGGAAGCAGCAUGCAGCGCAACGUGUCUACCUGAGCCGUCAGCUUUGUGCCACGCAGCUGGAAAGAUAGGGUCAUAGCAUAGGACUGUGACAUUGUUUAGUUGCCCUCAGUUCCUAUGCUGAAGCUAGUAUCAUACCACUGAAUCUUGGCUAAUAAAUUCUCGUUUAAUUGCGACACAAUCCCAACGCAAAAGAACUGCAAAUUAAACGCCCCACAACAGAAGCCGUUCAGUUUCUGGUACUGAUUACCAGGUUGGAGUCUCAUCUGAGAAGGUGGAGCGAUCGCAAGUCUGUACGUCACUGCGGUGAUCCAGUGGGAGGAGGCAGCCUGCCCGGGCCCAUCAGCCGUCGAUCUGGAUUUCCUCCUGUGCGCAGGCGAUUGGCCACUCAGUGCAUGGUUCUCUUGGGUGUGACUGCAAACCCUGCUUAGUUCUGUGAAAGUCACAGAGAGCCCAGAAUUGCUACGUGCAGCAAGAGGUAACCCAAUAGUGCAGAGAAGACACGGGAGUUAUGACCAGCAACGUGUCAAAAAAAAAUCUGCCUGCAUGUUUCUGUAUUGGGUCUGUUUGGGAUGGAGUCCCUUCUCAAAAAUAAAACAUUAGGUGAUGUACAAAGUGGUCAUCUCUUGUUGGAGGAUGAAAGUUGCUAAAAACAGCAAGCUUACAAUUGGAAAGUGUACUUGCAAACCUGGAUCUGGUUAUAGAAAUGACAUUAUUGAUUAUAUAGUGUCAUUUCCUGAUAAUUUGGCUCUUUAUUAGUCUUUUGUUUAUCUUUUGAGUGUAUUGUAUUUGAAUGAGUGGAAUAGGAAACUUCUUCUCGAUAGUUUCCUAUUCCUGCUUUUCUUUUCACUUCUUUGGACGGUAGAUGAUCCACAACUGAUGGCUUUUUCCAGAAACAUUUUGCAGGUGUAUUUCUCACAGUGCAAACUAGGACCUUCUGGAAAGCACUUCAUAAGGGAGUUUACCUCAGAAAUAUAGUUUUUUAUCCGCUUUUCCCUUGAAGAAUCACAGAGCAGCUGAGGCUGGCCGGGCCCUCUGGAAACACCUGGCCCAACCUCUGCUCUAGCAAGGUCACCCAGGGCAGGGUCACGUGCCCUGAGCCACGUCAGGAUGGCUUUUGGACAUCUCUGAGGACAAGAAUCCACAGCCUCUAUAGGCAGCCUAUGCCAGCACUCCAGCACCCACACAGUACCAGAAUGCUUCCUGGUGUUCAGAAGGAACCUUCUGCAUCCAGUUUAUGCCCAUUGCCUCUUGACCUGGCACUGGCACCACUAAAAAGAGGCAGGCCCCUUCCUCUCUGCACCCACACCUCAGUUAUUUGCAUACAUUGAUGAGACUCCUCUGAGCCUGUCUGUGACUGGGACAAAGUACUGAAGAAGGGCUGAAGAAGGCCCUGCUGCCUAGUCAGUGACUAAGCUGACAUAUCUAUUCAUCAAAAAUCUCUGAUGCCACUUUUGCUACUUUCUAAUGAUUACAA